UACGGAGGGGGCUAGCGUUGUUCGGAAUUACUGGGCGUAAAGCGCACGUAGGCGGCUUUGUAAGUCUGGCGUGAAAUUUUUCGGCUUAACCGGGAAAGGUCGUCGGAUACUGCAAGGCUAGAGGACGGUAGAGGCGUGUGGAAUUCCGGGUGUAGUGGUGAAAUGCGUAGAGAUCCGGAGGAACACCAGUGGCGAAGGCGACACGCUGGGCCGUACCUGACACUGAUGCGCGACAGCAUGGGGAGCAAACAGG
rnacentral:rRNA from 1 species